rnacentral:rRNA from 1 species
CCAGGCUAAUACCGCAUACGUCCUACGGGAGAAAGGGGGCUCGGCUCCCGCUAUGGGAUGAGCCUAUGUCGGAUUAGCUAGUUGGUGAGGUAACGGCUCACCAAGGCCACGAUCCGUAGCUGGUCUGAGAGGAUGAUCAGCCACAUCGGGACUGAGACACGGCCCGAACUCCUACGGGAGGCAGCAGUGGGGAAUAUUGGACAAUGGGCGAAAGCCUGAUUCAGCCAUGCCGCGUGUGUGAAGAAGGCCCUCGGGUUGUAAAGCACUUUCAGCGAGGAAGAACGCCUAGCGGUUAAUACCCGCUAGGAAAGACAUCACUCGCAGAAGAAGCACCGGCUAACUCCGUGCCGGCAGCCGCGGUAAUACGGAGGGUGCAAGCGUUAAUCGGAAUUACUGGGCGUAAAGCGCGCGUAGGUGGCUUGAUAAGCCGGUUGUGAAAGCCCCGGGCUCAACCUGGGAACGGCAUCCGGAACUGUCAAGCUAGAGUGCAGGAGAGGAAGGUAGAAUUCCCGGUGUAGCGGUGAAAUGCGUAGAGAUCGGGAGGAAUACCAGUGGCGAAGGCGGCCUUCUGGACUGACACUGACACUGAGGUGCGAAAGCGUGGGUAGCAAACAGGAUUAGAUACCCUGGUAGUCCACGCCGUAAACGAUGUCGACCAGCCGUUGGGUGCCUAGCGCACUUUGUGGCGAAGUUAACGCGAUAAGUCGACCGCCUGGGGAGUACGGCCGCAAGGUUAAAACUCAAAUGAAUUGACGGGGGCCCGCACAAGCGGUGGAGCAUGUGGUUUAAUUCGAUGCAACGCGAAGAACCUUACCUACUCUUGACAUCCUGCGAAUUUGGUAGAGAUACCUUAGUGCCUUCGGGAACGCAGAGACAGGUGCUGCAUGGCUGUCGUCAGCUCGUGUUGUGAAAUGUUGGGUUAAGUCCCGUAACGAGCGCAACCCUUGUCCUUAUUUGCCAGCGCGUAAUGGCGGGAACUCUAAGGAGACUGCCGGUGACAAACCGGAGGAAGGUGGGGACGACGUCAAGUCAUCAUGGCCCUUACGAGUAGGGCUACACACGUGCUACAAUGGUCGGUACAAAGGGUUGCCAACUCGCGAGAGUGAGCCAAUCCCGAAAAGCCGAUCUCAGUCCGGAUCGGAGUCUGCAACUCGACUCCGUGAAGUCGGAAUCGCUAGUAAUCGUGGAUCAGAAUGCCACGGUGAAUACGUUCCCGGGCCUU